rnacentral:rRNA from 1 species
GUGGCGGAAUGGUGAGUAAUGUCUGGGAAACUGCCUGAUGGAGGGGGAUAACUACUGGAAACGGUAGCUAAUACCGCAUAACGUCGCAAGACCAAAGAGGGGGACCUUCGGGCCUCUUGCCAUCGGAUGUGCCCAGAUGGGAUUAGCUAGUAGGUGGGGUAACGGCUCACCUAGGCGACGAUCCCUAGCUGGUCUGAGAGGAUGACCAGCCACACUGGAACUGAGACACGGUCCAGACUCCUACGGGAGGCAGCAGUGGGGAAUAUUGCACAAUGGGCGCAAGCCUGAUGCAGCCAUGCCGCGUGUAUGAAGAAGGCCUUCGGGUUGUAAAGUACUUUCAGCGGGGAGGAAGGGAGUAAAGUUAAUACCUUUGCUCAUUGACGUUACCCGCAGAAGAAGCACCGGCUAACUCCGUGCCAGCAGCCGCGGUAAUACGGAGGGUGCAAGCGUUAAUCGGAAUUACUGGGCGUAAAGCGCACGCAGGCGGUUUGUUAAGUCAGAUGUGAAAUCCCCGGGCUCAACCUGGGAACUGCAUCUGAUACUGGCAAGCUUGAGUCUCGUAGAGGGGGGUAGAAUUCCAGGUGUAGCGGUGAAAUGCGUAGAGAUCUGGAGGAAUACCGGUGGCGAAUGCGGCCCCCUGGACGAACACUGACGCUCACGUGCGAAAGCGUGGGGAGCAAACAGGACUAAAUACCCUGGUAGUCCACGCCCUAAACGAUGUCAACUUGCGGUUGUGCCCUUGAUGCGUGGCUCUCCGGAACCUAACUCGUUCAGUCUACCGCCUGGGGGAGUACGGCUCGCAAGGUCCAAACUCUAUAUGAAUUGUCCGGACCUCACACUCUCG